rnacentral:rRNA from 1 species
GUAAUAUAUAGAUAACGUGCCUCUUAGUCUGGGAUAGCCAUUGGAAACGAUGAUUAAUACCGGAUACUCCUUCUAACUCUAAUGUUAGUCGGGAAAGUUUUUCGCUAAGAGAUCGGUCUAUAUCCCAUCAGUUAGUUGGUAAGGUAACGGCUUACCAAGGCAAUGACGGGUAGCGGGUUUGAGAGGAUGAUCCGCCACACUGGUACUGAGACACGGACCAGGCUCCUACGGGAGGCAGCAGUGAGGAAUAUUGCACAAUGGGGGAAACCCUGAUGCAGCAACGCCGCGUGGAGGAUGACGCAUUUCGGUGUGUAAACUCCUUUUAUGAGUCAAGAAAAUGACGGUAGCUCAUGAAUAAGCACCGGCUAACUCCGUGCCAGCAGCCGCGGUAAUACGGAGGGUGCAAGCGUUACUCGGAAUCACUGGGCGUAAAGGACGCGUAGGCGGGAUGCCAAGUCUGAUGUGAAAUCCUAUGGCUUAACCAUAGAACUGCAUUGGAAACUGGUAACCUAGAGUAUGGGAGGGGGAGAUGGAAUUAGUGGUGUAGGGGUAAAAUCCGUAGAUAUCACUAGGAAUACCGAAAGCGAAGGCGAUCUCCUGGAACAUAACUGACGCUAAGGCGUGAAGGCGUGGGGAGCAAACGGGAUUAGAUACCCCGGUAGUCCACGCCCUAAACGAUGAACACUAGUCGUCGCUCUGCUUGUCAGGGCGGUGAUGCACUUAACAGAUUAAGUGUUCCGCCUGGGGAGUACGGUCGCAAGAUUAAAACUCAAAGGAAUAGACGGGGACCCGCGCAAGUGGUGGAGCAUGUGGUUUAAUUCGAAGAUACGCGAAGAACCUUACCUGGCCUUGACAUUGAUAGAAUCCAGCAGAGAUGCAAGAGUGCCCUUCGGGGAGCUUGAAAACAAGUGCUGCACGGCUGUCGUCAGCUCGUGUCGUGAGAUGUUGGGUUAAGUCCCGCAACGAGCGC